rnacentral:rRNA from 1 species
GAUCCUGGCUUAGGAUGAACGCUAGCGACAGGCUUAACACAUGCAAGUCGAGGGGCAGCACGGGAGUAGCAAUACAACUGGUGGCGACCGGCGCACGGGUGAGUAACGCGUAUGCAACCUACCUAUCAGAGGGGAAUAACCCGGCGAAAGCCGGACUAAUACCGCAUAAAACAGGGGCACCGCAUGGUGAUAUUUGUUAAAGAGAUUCGCUGAUAGAUGGGCAUGCGUUCCAUUAGGUAGUUGGUGAGGUAACGGCUCACCAAGCCGACGAUGGAUAGGGGAACUGAGAGGUUGGUCCCCCACACUGGUACUGAGCACGGACCAGACUCCUACGGGAGGCAGCAGUGAGGAAUAUUGGUCAAUGGGCGGGAGCCUGAACCAGCCAAGUCGCGUGAAGGAAGAAGGAUCUAUGGUUCGUAAACUUCUUUUGCAGGGGAAUAAAGUGCAGGACGUGUCCUGUUUUGUAUGUACCAUGAGAAUAAGGAUCGGCUAACUCCGUGCCAGCCGCCGC